CAAGGAUUCGGAUUUAAGCUAGUCAUGUGGAAAUAAACACAGGCCACCACCAACAGUAAAUGCUAAUGUGCCAUCUGGUUUCUGAAGCAGGAACCUCUUUUUACCUUUUGAGGCACUUUCUUUCUUUUCUUUUUUUUUUUUUUUUUGGUACCAGGGCUUGAACUCAGGUCCUUGCGCUUGUGCAGCAGGCAACAAAACCACUGAGCUAAAUCCCUGGCCCUUUUGAGGCACUUUCUGAUGCUAGCUUCUUAGCUGGAUUCAAAUCUGGCAUCAAGCAAUAGACAUACUUCUACCAUUUGAUCCUCACUAUAGCUAUUUAAGAUAGAAUGGCCAUUCUUAUUAUUUUUUUCAAUUUUAUUCCUGAGGCUUCUGAGGCUGAGAGGGAUUAAGCAAGUGGCAGUCUUCAGAUUCCAAAUGUUGCAUUUGUCUGGCUGAGGAAGGUGGAGGUCAAAGAACAUGUAUCCAAAGCGGAAGAAGUACAAGUUAGAUGGAGAAGGAAGCAGUGAAGGCCACUGCAGCAUUUUUCUGAAGACGGCUUCAUUACCAACAAGCAGCAUGAAGAUGAUCUUCUUCAUGACACUCCUCUGGUCAAGACUGUAGAAAGCAAGGCUGUUUUGACAGAUGUUGGAGGAGACAUUUUAAGCUGAUCCAGAAAAUCUGCUGCCUUGGUCCCUUCAGAGCCUACUCUCAGGUGUAGAGCAGGCUCUGGCUGCCCAGUGAGGACCCGAACAGUUUCCUUCAGCCCCCACUGCCUUAUGCGACUAACUAGCAAGCAGGCUUGCUGCUCACUUCACGGCAGUAGCUGUUGAUGCCAAACUGUCAGCCUCUGUCUCUGUUCUCUGCUUCCAUGUCUAUGCAGCCAGAGCCUCAGUUCAUGUCCCACUACCUAGCCCUGUGAUAUCUGUAUAGACCUUCAGCUAAUGUGUAUAUUUUGCCUGUUUUCUUUUCACUUUUUCCUUUUUGGAAUGUGGACAUGACUUCUAAAGGUGUGGCAGCUACCUUGUGUGAAGGAGGGUGAAUCCAACUGUUAAAUAAGGCUUUGUGGAAACACAGGAGAAUCCCUUGCUGGACUACCUACAUCUAACCUUUUCUUACAUGAGAAAAUGAAACCUUCUAAAGUAUUUCUGGUAACAUGCAGUUGAACACAGUUAAAAUGAACAGUUAAACUGUUUCAUUUUCUCAUUAACUCUAUCAAUGUUCUCUAAAAUCUUUCUGAUCCAAUGUCUAUCAAAAAACUUAAGUACAUUGUAUCUGUAUACACUUGUUUGUGUUCUUACUUAUUUAUAAAAUAAUCACAUGCAUGUCUAAUAU
rnacentral:lncRNA from 1 species